AAUUUCACUCCUACUUCUACUGAGAUAAUAAUGCAUAUAGAGCAUAUCCAUCGCUGAAAGAAGAGAGUUUUUGAUUAAACUGAAAAACCAAAUGGAUUUGAAGUCCUACAAAUGAUUAUCAUUUAGAGGAUGUGUGCCCACAUACAGACUAGAAUACUUAACAGGAGAAUGAAGAAUACAAAACAGAGCUCUGUCAUCUCCAGCCCAGGAUCAUUGGAUACUCCAUUUUCGUGCUGAAUUUGCCUGGCUGUUUGCUUUUUAAGUUUAAAGUGUAAAUGCCAACCUGCUUUUCUCUGAGUUCUCUCUGAAUCAGUCCUUUGUUUGGUCAGUUCACAAGGUACACAUUAGCUGCCAGGCAUGAUUAGGCUCUGAGGUAACAGUGAUUAAGAGGUAGGGAAAUGAGCAGAGGCCACCAACACAGAAUUUAAAAAAGAAAAAGAAAAAAUACGCGGGUGGGGAUGUUUCAUGCUUAUAUCAGACACCAGUUUCUCAAACUGAAAGAGCCAACAAAACGUUACACUGAAUUUAACACAGGCGUAUCCCAUGACUGGUCAGAAAUAAACAUAGACGUUUUACUCAUAAUGCUAAUUAGGAUCUCACAAGUGACUGAUUCUAAAUUAGAAAGGUUUAUUCAACCUCACACAGUGGGAAUGUAUUGCAUGGCUAUUCUAGUUCCCGGGAGAAAAUAAAAUAACAGAAAGUCGCUGUAAAAGGUCAUUUAUGAGGAAAUCCCAAACUUCCAUUUCACACCUUUAUAAGAAGCACCAAAUAUAUCCCAAAUUAAGCCCAGGUAGAAAACAACUCAGACUCUGUUUUGAAUUUUUUUUUUAAACUACAGAGAGUCCUAUUUAUAUUUUCCCUGAGCACUUGAAAGACUUGAUUUUCCCUUACCGUGAGAAAGCAAAACUGAGAAAACCAGAAAACCUGUGGAUAAACACCUAAACCAUCGUUCCCACAAUGACCAUGCCUGGCUGCAUUUUCUUCACUAUCAUACUGUUUAAAUGGAUCACCCCAAUCUCAAUCCACAUCAAAUAAAACUUUACAUAUUUAGGAA